GGCGCGUGCAGUGCGCAGGCGCGCGGCCGCCAUGGCGGCGCCCCUUGGGGCYGGGGCCGCUGCUCGGGGAUGUGGUUAGGCGGCGGCCGCCAGGCUCCGGGGCACCUCGGUCUCACAAGCUGCACGGCUGGUCGGUGCRUUUUGCCAGCGUCGCAAGAAGCAGCGAAGAGAAAUGGUGUCCCAGCCGCUGGCGCGYCGCGUCGCAUAAGCACCCGGAACUUUGUACUGGCGUUACAUCUCUUGUAUCAGGAUCUCAGCACAGUGGAAACAGGAGCUUCAUCUCCCGCAGAAAGGGCCAACUUCUGCCAGAGCAAGACAACAGCUCCCCACCAGCAUGGACCUGGGAAGAGCAGAGUUCCCUCCCUCACUGAGAAGUGAGCUACUGCCCAGCAGCAAUGUUUUGCUUCUGCUUUUUGCAACCUUCCACAACUAUUUUCAGUCUGACCCACGUCAAAUACUGGUUGAAACAGAUAGUAAACCCUAACGCACACACACACAGGGGUCAAAAUGAGCCAGUCUACAAGGAAAAGCUGUACUGGCCCUUCUCAAAACAUCAUCUCUUGCAGAAACAGAUCUGUAUAGGACCUGCAAAGUUUCUGUUUCAACCAGUGUGUUAUAUAUUUACAGGCACACACACACAUGCACACUUAUAUGAAUGCGUGCACAUGCGCUCUCCACAUUCCUAAAUGGGCUACUUUUCUUCCCAAAUUUCUUCAAUUCAGGCAGACACCACUCUAUAAAAAUCGUUGUAGACUUACUUUACCUCUGAAAGUCUGUUAAGUGCCCACACAGAGGAUCUAUUUCAGCUCACCGUAUAUCUGCAUUGAUCCAGGCUUUUCGUCAGCACCCAUGAGCUAACUUGUUUUUGUGAGCGUACUUCCAGGGGCAUGAGCCRAAGUUUGGUCUUAACUCAGUACAACUCUGCCAGAGGUGAAGUGUGUGUAUGUGACAAACGUGAAAAAGAAUGAAGCACCAAGUCAUUGCACAUUCACAACAGAAAUAUAUUGAGACGUUUUUGUUACAGUAUUUUCCUUAGAAGAAUGUUAUACUGCUUUAAAUCUGUUAAGGCUGUAUUGAUUACAAUCCUACUGUCCAUCAGCAUCAUCCAUCAUCAUCUUUGGGCCACCAGUAUGACGGUCAUGAAGGAACAAAACAAAGUUGACUGGCAGAAUGUUUCACAUCUGAUGAGUCUGUGCACAAUAAGAGUAUAAUAAAUCAUACUCUGGAGGAACUCA
rnacentral:lncRNA from 1 species